CUGAGGUCAGUUGGUCUGUUCUGCUGUAAGAGACUGAGGGGAGACCUCAUUGCAGUCUACAACUUCUUCAUGAGGGGAAAUGGAGGGGCAGACACUGAUCUCUCUGGUGACCAAUGACAGACCCCAAGGGAAUGGCCUGAAGUCGUGUCAGAGGAGGUUUAGGCUGGAUAUUAGAAAAAGGUUCCUCACCCAGAGGGCGGUUGGGCGCUGG